rnacentral:rRNA from 1 species
AUUGAACGCUGGCGGCAUGCUUUACACAUGCAAGUCGAGCGGUAACAGGCCUUCGGGUGCUGACGAGUGGCGAACGGGUGAGUAAUGCAUCGGAACGUACCCAGAGGUGGGGGAUAACGCAGCGAAAGCUGUGCUAAUACCGCAUGUGAUCUGAGGAUGAAAGCGGGGGACCGAGCAGCAAUGUUUGGCCUCGCGCCUUUGGAGCGGCCGAUGUCGGAUUAGCUAGUUGGUGGGGUAAAGGCCUACCAAGGCGACGAUCCGUAGCUGGUCUGAGAGGACGACCAGCCACACUGGGACUGAGACACGGCCCAGACUCCUACGGGAGGCAGCAGUGGGGAAUUUUGGACAAUGGGCGCAAGCCUGAUCCAGCAAUACCGCGUGCGGGAAGAAGGCCUUCGGGUUGUAAACCGCUUUUGGCAGGAACGAAACGGUGUCCGCUAAUACCGGGCGCUAAUGACGGUACCUGCAGAAUAAGCACCGGCUAACUACGUG